ensembl:lncRNA novel transcript
CUACAGGCGACGUUGCCGCCUCGCCGCCGUCACCGGCCGGGACCUUGCGAACUGUACUGAGGAAGUCCAGGUCAAAUAAGGAAGGAGGUAGAGCCCAGGGAUGCAGCUGUCAGACCUUGGAGAAGGAGCACUUGGAGACUAGAGUGCACAAGAUGGCUCAAAAGGGAUUAAGGAUGAAUGGAGAGAUGGGAGAUUUUGACCAGAAACUAAAAUACUGGAGUUUAAAUGGCUCAAGGCAUUCCUUAAUCUACUCAAAGUGACACCUAAGAUUAACCAUCACAAAUGGGGAUGAAGUCUGGAUUAGCGAGAGUCUGGAAAGACCAAGAUCAGGAUGUCAUCAUGGUUGGAUUCUGCUGAGGGCCCACCUCUGGAUUCAUAGAAUGGCACCUUCUUGCUGUGUCCUCACAUGGUCUAAGGGACUAAAAGCCCUCAUGGCCUGACCACCUCCCAGUGGUCACACCUCCUAAUACCAUCACUUUGG